rnacentral:rRNA from 1 species
AGUGAACGCUGGCGGUAGGCCUAACACAUGCAAGUCGAACGGCAGCACAGUAAGAGCUUGCUCUUACGGGUGGCGAGUGGCGAACGGGUGAGGAAUACAUCGGAAUCUACUUUUUCGUGGGGGAUAACGUAGGGAAACUUACGCUAAUACCGCAUACGACCUACGGGUGAAAGCAGGGGAUCUUCGGACCUUGCGCGAUUGAAUGAGCCGAUGUCGGAUUAGCUAGUUGGCGGGGUAAAGGCCCACCAAGGCGACGAUCCGUAGCUGGUCUGAGAGGAUGAUCAGCCACACUGGAACUGAGACACGGUCCAGGCUCCUACGGGAGGCAGCAGUGGGGAAUAUUGGACGAUGGGCGCAAGCCUGAUACAGCCAUACCGCGUGGGUGAAGAAGGCCUUCGGGUUGUAAAGCCCUUUUGUUGGGAAAGAAAAGCAGCAGGUUAAUACCCCGCUGUUCUGACGGUACCCAAAGAAUAAGCACCGGCUAACUUCGUG